GUCGCAACAUUGUUGCAUUUAUCACUUAUUUCGGUUCUGCUUUCACACUGUGGUUUCUAAAGUGCACCGAACUUUCCGAGCAGCAUCACGUGGUUGAAAGGGGCGCUCUUCGAUUGGACAAAGUAGGAGGGGUAUGUAACCUCAUGGAUUACAAACAGGGGUGGACUAGCCGUCUUGUAUCGUGCUUCGUCACAUUAUUUUAUGGAAUGCUACAACGUUAGUGAACGCAACUGUUCCUAUAAUGCUAUCGUAGCUUGUCAGGGAUUGAGCCUGUUAUUUUUCUAACUUUGACGAUCUAACAUGUGACAACAUAUGAGCUCAGAGUUUAAGGACUGUGACUGUUGGUAGUUGUGAUUUGAUUUUGUUUAAAUAUGCCAAAUUGUGAAUUUAUGGGUUAUUGUUGUUCAGACAAUUGAGCUAAGCUAGCUAGCAACUGCUAGUGUCAGCGGUCACUUGGUGCCAUAGCAACAAGGGAUGCCAUGCUUCCUGUACCCAAGAUGCACUGCGUAUAGCGUCAUUACGUACAUUUGGUCCUGUGUUUGGUCCGGUGAGCUUUCACACUGCAUACGAACUGAACCAGGGUUCACUUGCAAGCGAACCGAGACCCACGUUUUCAGGCGGACCAGAGUUCGCUUGUUUGGU